AGGCAGAUGAUGAAUUAUAAUUAUUUGGACUGAUCAAACUGUGAUGAUCCAAAAUUCGAGCUUUUUAAAACUGAUGCCUC
rfam:Solanum tuberosum cultivar DM 1-3 516 R44 scf00379_18, whole genome shotgun sequence.